GGANUUGCCANUGGGCGAAAGCCUGAUGCAGCGACGCCGCGUGGGGGAUGAAGCUUCUCGGAGUGUAAACCCCUUUCGACCCGGACGAAUGCCCCGCAAGGGGACUGACGGUACGGGUAUAAGAAGCCCCGGCUAACUACGUGCCAGCAGCCGCGGUAAGACGUAGGGGGCCAGCGUUGCUCGGAAUUACUGGGUGUAAAGGGUUCGUAGGCGGUGUGGCAAGUCGGGAGUGAAAUCUCUGGGCUCAACCCAGAGUCUGCUUCCGAAACUGCUGUGCUUGAGUGUGGGAGAGGCGCGUGGAAUUGCAGGUGUAGCGGUGAAAUGCGUAGAUAUCUGCAGGAACACCCGUGGCGAAAGCGGCGCGCUGGACCACUACUGACGCUGAGGAACGAAAGCUAGGGGAGCAAACAGGAUUAGAUACCCUGGUAGUCCUAGCCCUAAACGAUCAGGACUUGGGGUGCCACCCGUUCGGGUGUCGUCCCGGAGCUAACGCGUUAAGUCCUGCACCUGGGGAGUACGGUCGCAAGACUGAAACUCAAAGGAAUUGACGGA
rnacentral:rRNA from 1 species